GUGGUUAUUUUUAUGGAGAGGCCGAGCACAAUGUCAUUACAGCUUCAGUGUCCCUGCCAGCAGCCUUGCUAAUUUCCACAAUAUUGUGUUAUCCAUGAGAAAGCCAUGAACCUUUCCUUUGUGAUUCACAGAUUAGACUUGUUAGCCAAGAGAAGAGUGGAGGACACAGAGAGAACUGAAGUGAAUACACAGAUGAUAAUUUCAAAAUCAGGACAUUGCUUUAAUGUGUGCCUGAUACAUCAAUAAACAGGAAGCAGUGAAUAUCAAUGGUCAGGCAGUAACUGUGGGGAAAAUGGAUAGGAAAUAGAAGAACAAGAAAGGCGACUGAGAGAGCAAACCAGUUUUGUGAGGGUUUCAUCUGAAAGUUGUUCAAGUAAAGAAACCUCUUUCGAUUGGAAGAGAAUAAAUGGAAGCUAUGUUGUGCCUUCCCUGACCAAUCGAGUGGAUGGCAGUCACUCUUGUCGACUGGGGCACGUUGUAAUGCAAUAUCUUUGGCUGUCUUCCAAAAGCUGAAAAACACAGAAACGUUAACUCAUCCAACUGCAUCACUUGUCUCGUUUAAUGGUUCUCGUCUACACCCUAUCGGCCAAGUAAAGUUACGUUGCCGUCUCAACUCAUGUGACCACAUCCUGGAUUUUUACGUGGUACGCGAGAAGGUACCAUCCAUACUGGGUGCCGAUGCAUGCCAUGACAUGGGUUUGAUUUCUUUCAGCCCUUCUGUCUGUCCACUGACUAUAGGCUGUGAUUUUACACAUCACAUUUUAACACAAUACAAGGAUUUAAUUAACGAAAAGCUUGGCAGGUUGCCUGUGAGAUACACAAUUACUAUUGACCCUGAGGCAAUCCCAGUUGUUCGUCUGGCUCACAAGAGUCCCCACG